rnacentral:lncRNA from 1 species
GCAAUUUCCUGGGGGACAGCAACACCGAUGGAUGUCGUGAAAAGCCGAAUCCAAGCUGAUGGGGUCUAUUUAAACAAAUACAGGGGAGUCCUGGACUGCAUCUCCCAGAGUUACCAGCAAGAAGGCUUUAAGGUCUUUUUCAGGGGCAUCACUGUGAAUGCUGUACGCGGCUUUCCCAUGAGUGCGGCCAUGUUCCUCGGGUACGAGCUCUCACUGAAGGCACUCCGUGGCGACCACACCGUAAGAAACAAAUGAGCGAUCAGG